rnacentral:lncRNA from 1 species
GCGGUGCACGGCGACUUAGCAGGCAGCGUCGGGCACCGGGUCGAACAGAGGCCGAAGGCGCAGCCCGGAGAAGAUUUGCUGGUGGAGCGGCGGUGGUGUAAUGCGGGGGCGACGAGCGUAGAGGAGCUGACGACCGUCGGGACGGCGUCUGGUUGCAGACGCGGGCAGCAAGGGUGAGGAAGACGAUGAACAGUAAACGUCACCUCAACCCCUGCUGGUUGUACUUU